rnacentral:rRNA from 1 species
AUUGAACGCUGGCGGCAUGCUUUACACAUGCAAGUCGAACGAGUGGCGCACGGGUGAGUAAUACAUCGGAACGUGUCCUAUCGUGGGGGAUAACUGCUCGAAACAUCAGCUAAUACCGCAUACGAUUGGAGCGGCCGAUGCCCGAUUAGCUAGUGGGUGGGGUAAAGGGUCACCAAGGCGACGACCGGUAGCUGGUCUGAGAGGACGACCAGCCACACUGGAACUGAGACACGGCCCAGACGCCUACGGGAGGCAGCAGUGGGGAAUUUUGGACAAUGGGGGCAAGCCUGAUGCAGCCAUGCCGCGUGCAGGAAGAAGGGCUUCGGAUUGUAAACUGCUUUUGUCAGGGAAGCGGUACCUGAAGAAGAAGCACCGGCUAACUACGUGCCAGCAGCCGCGGUAAUAC